rnacentral:rRNA from 1 species
CCUACGGGUGGCAGCAGUGGGGAAUAUUGCACAAUGGGGGAAACCCUGAUGCAGCGACGCCGCGUGAGUGAAGAAGUAUUUCGGUACGUAAAGCUCUAUCAGCAGGGAAGAAAAUGACGGUACCUGACUAAGAAGCCCCGGCUAACUACGUGCCAGCAGCCGCGGUAAUACGUAGGGGGCAAGCGUUAUCCGGCUUUACUGGGUGUAAAGGGAGCGUCGACGGCAGCGCAAGUCUGGAGUGAAAUCCCAUGGCUUAACCAUGGAACUGCUUUGGAAACUGUGCAGCUAGAGUGCAGGAGAGGUAAGCGGAAUUCCUAGUGUAGCGGUGAAAUGCGUAGAUAUUAGGAGGAACACCAGUGGCGAAGGCGGCUUACUGGACUGUAACUGACGUUGAGGCUCGAAAGCGUGGGGAGCAAACAGGAUUAGAUACCCGAGUAGUC